rnacentral:rRNA from 1 species
AUGGCGGCUAGCCAUCCCCAGCACGGGAUCCCUCGGCCCUCGAGCGGCGGCGCCCCUGCAUCGCCUCUAUCCAAGCACCCCUACACGCUGCUCCUUUCUCGCGCGCGGGUGUGCACUACGGCACUACCUCGACCUCCAGCCCGGCGCCUUCGUGCGCGCGCCACCGUCCGCCUAGGCGAAAUCCUUGUUGCGCUAGGCCCGGCCGUUCCGGCCCCGCGCGUGCCAGCUUCGCCUCUGGCCGUGCCCCCGCCCAUGCCGGCUACAGCCACGGGCCGCCUGGCGUCUUCAGCCACCCCAGCUUGCAUCUGCGCCCCGGGUCACCUCCGGCCGUGGCCGCGUGUCCCGCGCCGGCCGGCUCCGGGUCCCCGCCGGGUCGCCUCCGCCAGCGGCCGGGUGCCCCGCUCCGGCCGGCUCCGGUUCCCCGCCGGGUCGCCUCCUGCCCACCAUCACGCCGGCUUCUCCACCUCCUGUGCCGGCUCCUGGCCGCCUCCACACGUGGACCCGGCCGCCCCACACUGGGUCCGGCCGGCUCCCGCGCCGUCCCUCGGCUCCCACGACCCUCGCCACCUCCACCUCGGUGCCCCACCCGUCGGCUUCGUCUUCUACCCGGUCGUCCGACCCAACCCCGCUCUGCACUGGCUCCUCCCCCGUGCCAGCUUCCCGGCGCUAGCUUGCCCCGCAACCGGCUCCCCGUCGCCGCCUGCCGCCCGCUCGCCGGGACGCCUCGCCCCUGGCCUCCGAGGCCUCCCCACCGGGUCACCACGCCUCCGGCCACCUCACCCGCCGGCUCACGCCCCGCGCCCCCACCGGGUUGCCUUCCUGCCUGGCCGCGUCAUGCUCCCGGGUCCGCGCGCCACCUACCACCUGGUGCGGCUUCUCUUUAAAAGAGCUGACGGCUGA